GCUAAUACUUGACGGGAAACGCCCUCAGUCGAGUGUGUUCCUCCGGGAGCAUAAUCUACUGAGGAGGGGAGGAUCCUUAUGGUCCUUUCAAUAUAUUACCACUUCUUUGUGAAUAAGGGUGGAUUAUAUGCCAAGAGAAUUGUAGAAAUCGAAAGAUUUUCACAAGUCAUCAUUAAGAAUAUCUGACCUAUCAACUGGUUGUUGGUAAGGUAGUGGCUUACCAAGGUGAUAACGGGUAACGAGGAAUAAGGGUUCGACAUCGGAGAGGGAGCUUUAGAAAUGGCUACCACUUCUAAGGAAGGCAGCAGGCGCGAAAAUUACCCAAUCUUAACAACUGAAGGAGGUAGUGACGACAAUUAACGCUUUCCCUCGCAUUUUGUGAGGAUUGCCGGAAUGAUCACGACAUAAACCAUCGUGAGAAAGCGAUUGGAGGGCAAGUCUGGUGCCAGCAGCCGCGGUAAUUCCAGCUCCAAUAGUGUAUUGUAAAGUUGUUGUGAUUAAAACGCUCGUAGUUGAAUGUAAACAAUCGAGGCAUGAUUUACGUUCUCUGGCGUGUGAGCUUGCUCAUUGUCAGUAGGACCGCAAUCAAUGAAUGUCUCACUAUAAGCGGGAGUUUGAUUCAGUUCCAAACUCUUUUACUUUGAUUAAAUCAAGGUGCUUAAAGCAAAAUCUUCUGUUAAUGAAUGAUGAAGCAUGGUAUAAAACGAAAAACAGAACAGAAAUCAAUAUUGAAUUAUGAGGAUGGCUUGCCAUUCGAAUUUUUCGGUGUUUUGUUUUGUUUAAAACAAGAUUAAGAGAAAUGAUUAGGGUGAUUUAGAUAGGAACGGGAGAGGUGGAAUUCCAUGAUCGUUUCGAGAUAAACGAGAGCGAAAGCAUUUCACUGAAUUCAUUUCAUUAAUCAAGAACGAAAGUCAGGGAAUCAAAGACGAUUAGAUACCGUCGUAGUCCUGACCAUAAACGAUGUCAACUAAGGAUUGGAUAAGAAAUUUUCGAAGUACGGGUUUCUAAUAUCAACAAGCGACAGCUUGGCGAUUCUGAAACUGUCUUCAAUUCUUCCCUUAUUCAGGACUUGAUGAGAAAUCAUUAAGUGAAUGGACUUCAGGGGGAGUAUGGUCACAAGGCUGAAACUUAAAGGAAUUGACGGAAGGGCACACCAGGAGUGGAGCCUGCGGCUUAAUUUGACUCAACACGGGAAAACUUACCAAGACCGAACGGUGUAAGGAAUGACAGGUUACUGGGUCUUUCAUGAUUCAUCGGGGAGU
rnacentral:rRNA from 1 species